GACGAACGCUGGCGGCGUGCUUAACACAUGCAAGUCGAACGGAAAGGCCCUGCUUUUGUGGGGUGCUCGAGUGGCGAACGGGUGAGUAACACGUGAGUAACCUGCCCUUGACUUUGGGAUAACUUCAGGAAACUGGAGCUAAUACCGGAUAGGAGCUCCUGCUGCAUGGUGGGGGUUGGAAAGUUUCGGCGGUUGGGGAUGGACUCGCGGCUUAUCAGCUUGUUGGUGGGGUAGUGGCUUACCAAGGCUUUGACGGGUAGCCGGCCUGAGGGGGUGACCGGCCACAUUGGGACUGAGAUACGGCCCAGACUCCUACGGGAGGCAGCAGUGGGGAAUAUUGAACAAUGGGCGGAAGCCUGAUGCAGCAACGCCGCGUGCGGGAUGACGGCCUUCGGGUUGUAAACCGCUUUCGCCUGUGACGAAGCGUGAGUGACGGUAAUGGGUAAAGAAGCACCGGCUAACUACGUG
rnacentral:rRNA from 1 species